GCGGAGGCCGCAGCGGGACAGGCCAGCCCCGGAGUCCUCGCGGGCGAGCGAGACCUUCGCCACACAGGGUGGAGGGUGACAGUAAAGAACGUGGCAGGAAGCCAGAGGAGCCUGUAUGUUAGGUGGCAAUACCUAUGUUUCAGACAGCAGGAUGGAGAAGAAAUGCAAAAGAGGAGAGGCCAAGGACGCGGUGAAGAAUUUGGCAUUGACAGAGAUCACAUAUUGGCAUUCAACGGGCAGAUGGCCAAGACUGGAGAGUCUGAGACAGCUUCACCCUGGUAGUGAUGGCUGGAAAGCUGAGCCCACCUGGAAUCAUUGACUGAAAUCCCACUGUGGCCUCCCCAGCAUUGUGGUCUGAGAGCGGGAAAAGCAAGAGGCCCAGCUAACUGUUAGCAGCCAUCUUACAACAAUGAGAGACAUGUGCUUGAAGACAAAACUGAUACAGAGAAGGAGAGAGCGAAGUCUAUCAGAGAACAAUGAACAAGAGCCCUGACUGAGCCCUGCUUGACUCCUGUCUCUUUUCAACAGUGUGUGGCCAUAUGACUGAUUUGCCUAGGACAGUGUCAGCUUACAUCAGCUCUCCUAGCCUGAUUGUUCAUAGUCCCCUCUUUUCUUUUUCAAAAGUGUCCUGGGUUAGACAAUCACUUGUAUGGUCACACUCCUGGUAAUUAGGUUUUCCAUCUCAUACCAGUUAAAUUAUCAGUUAGCCAAGGUCAGCUAUUUCUCAGAUUGUGUCCAUUCAAACUGUUUUCUGGCUGACUCCCAGCAAGCUCCCUCAGAUUGUUAAGUUGUUUAAAAUAAUUAGAUUCAAAAUGUAACCACAGAAGACAUCCACCUUCCUCUCACUCAUUACUGGGUGAUCUCUUCAAUUUCUUUCUUCAGGACCCAGGGAUUUUCCGUGAAGUUUUUCUAGAUUUUCCUAAAUAGAAGUAACCAUCCCAGCUCCCAAACAAUUCUUAUAACUCACAGUAGUGCAUUGCAGUGAGUAGUUUUUGUGUUUAUCUUCCAUAGCCAACUAUGAACUUCUGAAAGAGGAUUAUAUCAAUUUGAACUUUAUAUCCAAAACAUGAGAACAAGGUGCUCCUGGAACAUAGCUUCUUUUGAUAUGUACUGAGGAAUACAGGAAAAGAAAUAACUGAUAGGAAAGUCAUUCAUUUGUUUACCUUGUCAUUUUAACAGUCUGUUCAAAUAAUUUUGUUCAGCAUUUCCCAUUGUAUAGCGACUAACCCCUUAAUAAUGUCUCCCAACCCCAAGUGAUCUGAAAAUAAUUAAAAUGAGCAAUUGGAUUUAAGGAUGAGCUUAGUAUAAUAAUGUCCCCAAUAGUUGUUUCUAUAUCCUUGAAUCAUCACAUUUAAGGUAACACUUCAAUAUAUGCCCAUAAUGAAAUAAAGGCUUAAAAAUAAUCUAUGAUUUUUGAACCAUAAAAUUACAAGACCAGGUGUAGGGCUCAUCUUCACAAAUUCAUGUCAGUUUGGUACUUAUUCAGGCAAAUGUUGUAAUCUGUUUUUAAACCGAUUCUGAGCUCAAAAGAAAAUAUAUUGUUUGUAAACUGGACUCAGAAAACUUUGUCUUACUCCUGUUAUCCUGAUGCAUUUUAUCCAGAGUAUUUUUAAAAAUACUUAUUACCAAAAAUAAUAUUAACACUUAUUAAACAUUACUGUUUCUUGCAUAUCAGAAGGCCCCAUGUGUAGCUAAAUACUUUUUAUUCUUUGCUUAUAUAGAAUAUUUUAUUUCCAGGCCUGAAAUUAAUUUUUCUCAUGGAAUAAAAGUAUCUGUGCUUGCUCUUUACUAUUUAAUUAUAUUUCCUUAUUCCAUACUAUUGUCAUCUAAUUACAUUAUUUCUGAUUGACUGAACCAGUUAUGUUAGCAAGAAGAUGAGAUCUAUAGGAUGUUCUGGUUUGUGUAAUAAAAUUGAGGAAUGUUG